rnacentral:rRNA from 1 species
GGCGGAUGGGUGAGUAACACGUGGGUAACCUGCCCUAAAGUCUGGGAUACCACUUGGAAACAGGUGCUAAUACCGGAUAACAACAAUAGCUGCAUGGCUAUUGCUUAAAAGGCGGCGAAAGCUGUCGCUAAAGGAUGGACCCGCGGUGCAUUAGCUAGUUGGUAAGGUAAUGGCUUACCAAGGCGACGAUGCAUAGCCGAGUUGAGAGACUGAUCGGCCACAUUGGGACUGAGACACGGCCCAAACUCCUACGGGAGGCAGCAGUAGGGAAUCUUCCACAAUGGGCGAAAGCCUGAUGGAGCAACGCCGCGUGAGUGAAGAAGGUUUUCGGAUCGUAAAGCUCUGUUGUUGGUGAAGAAGGAUAGAGGUAGUAACUGGCCCCUAUUUGACGGUAAUCAACCAGAAAGUCACGGCUAACUACGUGCCAGCAGCCGCGGUAAUACGUAGGUGGCAAGCGUUGUCCGGAUUUAUUGGGCGUAAAGCGAGCGCAGGCGGAAAGAUAAGUCUGAUGUGAAAGCCCCCGGCUUAACCGAGGAAUUGCAUCGGAAACUGUGUUUCUUGAGUGCAGAAGAGGAGAGUGGAACUCCAUGUGUAGCGGUGGAAUGCGUAGAUAUAUGGAAGAACACCAGUGGCGAAGGCGGCUCUCUGGUCUGUAACUGACGCUGAGGCUCGAAAGCAUGGGUAGCGAACAGGAUUAGAUACCCUGGUAGUCCAUGCCGUAAAC